UGCCAGCAGCCGCGGUAAUACGGAGGGUGCGAGCGUUAAUCGGAAUUACUGGGCGUAAAGCGCGCGUAGGCGGCUUUGUCAGUCGGAUGUGAAAGCCCCGGGCUUAACCUGGGAAUUGCAUUCGAUACUGCAGAGCUAGAGUAUGGUAGAGGGAAGUGGAAUUCCGGGUGUAGCGGUGAAAUGCGUAGAUAUCGGAAGGAACACCGGUGGCGAAGGCGACUUCCUGGGCCAAUACUGACGCUGAGGCGCGAAAGCGUGGGUAGCAAACAGGAUUAGAUA
rnacentral:rRNA from 1 species